GUCAGGUGUGGUGUAGUGGUAUGAGCAUCAGACUGUGACUUUGAAGAACAGGGUUCGAAUCCCCACUCAGCCA